rnacentral:rRNA from 1 species
CCUACGUGAGGCAGCAGUAGGGAAUCUUCCACAAUGGGCGAAAGCCUGAUGGAGCAACGCCGCGUGGGUGAAGAAGGUCUUCGGAUCGUAAAACCCUGUUGUUAGAGAAGAAAGUGCGUGAGAGUAACUGUUCACGUUUCGACGGUAUCUAACAAGAAAGCCACGGCUAACUACGUGCCAGCAGCCGCGGUAAUACGUAGGUGGCAAGCGUUAUCCGGAUUUAUUGGGCUUAAAGGGAACGCAGGCGGUCUUUUAAGUCUGAUGUGAAAGCCUUCGGCUUAACCGGAGUAGUGCAUUGGAAACUGGGAGACUUGAGUGCAGAAGAGGAGAGUGGAACUCAAUGUGUAGCGGUGAAAUGCGUAGAUAUAUGGAAGAACACCAGUGGCGAAAGCGGGUCUCUGGUCUGUAACUGACGCUGAGGUUCGAAAGCGUGGGUAGCAAACAGGAUUAGAUACCCCUGUAGUC